GUCAGAGAGUCCGCGUAGCACAUCGCGGAGUGCUGCUGAGAGAUGGUGAGGGACGAGCAGGGCAAAGGCAUGGGCGGGUCUGUCCAGAUGGGGGCAGCUUUGGACGCUGAUGGUUUACAAUGGAGAUUAUGAAGAUUGUCAUUAAAAAGGAGUUCACAGAUCAAACGAGUGUCUCCCACAUCCUGAUCAGCGUCGUUGGAUCCAAGUGUGGAUUAACAACCAGAGGACCAAGCUGGAGGAUUUUGGUCACCCAGUGAGACACUGAGCAAAACGCUGCCACUGCCUUCCACACACCUGUGUUUUAAAUGUUUAUAUCUAACUUUAGGCCUCCACUCAUCAGUAAAAGAAAAAGGUAGAUGACAUCAUCUGUCCUCCUUCUUUUCCUCGUGCUUUUACUUUUCCCUGCCGAGACAGCCAGCCGUUUCAUUCUGCGACAGACACUGAGGCUUAGCAGGGGGAGGAAAAAGCCAGCCCUCCUCAGCUAUCAAAAGUCUAAUGUCAAUUUAGGUACCUGCCAAUCAAGCCAUCGGAUGCACCUUGAGAGUGUGAAUGUUGGUGUGUGGACAGAAUAUCUUAAGCAGCAACAUGAACCAUUCUAAUCAAUGACAUCUAAUACGGCAACCCCCUGUUUAACUUUUCAGAUUGAGAAUAAAACUUGGUUGAAAGAUG